GUAAUUAUUAUGUUUUUCUGACGCUGACUGCAAUUACAAAAGGUUUAAUGAUGUCCUAUCGGCAGGCAAGCCCACCAAGGAAACAAAUAGUACGCAAAAGACAUGGGUAUAAUCAGUAAGAGAAGGGCAGAAAGCGAGACCGAAGCCCCACAAUCUGGAUCCAACUCCCCGAUGAUGUUUAAUGAUCCUUCCGCAGGUUCACCUACGGAAA
rnacentral:misc_RNA from 1 species